CAGCAGCCGCGGGAACACGGAGGGUGCGAGCGUUAAUCGGAAUUACUGGGCGUAAAGAGUGCGUAGGUGGUUAAUUAAGUUAUCUGUGAAAUUCCUGGGCUUAACCUGGGCAGGUCAGAUAAUACUGGUUAACUCGAGUAUGGGAGAGGGUAGUGGAAUUUCCGGUGUAGCGGUGAAAUGCGUAGAUAUCGGUAGGAACACCAGUGGCGAAGGCGGUUUCCUGGAGCCCACUUGACGCUGAGACGCGAAAGCUGGGGGAGCAAACGGGAUUAGAGACCCCUGUAGUCCCUGUCUCUUAUAC
rnacentral:rRNA from 1 species